rnacentral:sRNA from 1 species
UGAUCAAUGUUGUCCUCAGAUUUUGGAGC